GUAGUGAUAUGCUUGUUUCAAAGAUUAAGCCAUGCAUGUCUAAGUAUAAGCGAACUUAUACAGUGAAACUGCGGAUGGCUCAUUAAAACAGUUUGAAUUUAUUUGAUGAAUGUAUGAGAAUACUACUUGGAUAACCGUAGCAAUUCUAGAGCUAAUACAUGCAACGACGCCCGACCGUUUCACUACGGAAGGGCUGUAUUUAUUGGAUACCAAAACCAUCCUUCCCUCGGGAAGUUUUGUUUGAUGAUUCACAAUAACUGAUCGGAUCGCCACUGUGGUGGCGACAGGUCAUUCAACAUUCUGCCCUAUCAGCUUUCGAUGGUUGUGUAGUGGACAACCAUGGCCAUAACGGGUAACGGAGAAUCAGGGUUCGAUUCCGGAGAAGGAGCUUGAGAAUUGGCUACUACAUCUAAGGAAGGCAGCAGGCGCGCAAAUUACCCAAUCCCGAUUCGGGGAGGUAGUGACAAAAAAUAACAAUACCGGGCCUUUUUGGGCUUGGUAAUUGGAAUGAGGGAGAGUUAAACGGACCAUCGAGUAUCCAUUGGAGGGCAAGUCUGGUGCCAGCAGCUGCGGUAAUACCAGCUCCAAUAGCGUAUAUUAAAGUUGUUGCAGUUAAAAAGCUCGUAGUUGGACUUGUGUGCGCAGUCCGCGGGUGGCCUGCGCCCAAAAGGGCGUUUCGGUUCGGCCCCGGUGGCGCCUUGAAAUCUGCAGCUGGGGGGACGUUGGCCUUAACUGGUCGGCGACCGCACGCCGGCUGCUCGGUUACUGUGAGAAAAUUAGAGUGUUCAAGGCAGGCAUUGGGUGCAAUUGAAUACAUUAGCAUGGAAUAAUAAAAUAUGGCUCCUGCCGUAUUUUGUUGGUUUUGACUGGUGGGAGUAAUGAUUGAUAGGGACGGUUGGGGGUGCUAGUAUUGAGCGGCCAGAGGUGAAAUUCAUGGAUUCGCUCAAGACUAACUUAUGCGAAAGCAUUCACCAAGGACGUCCUCUUUAAUCAAGAACGAAAGUUGGGGGAUCGAAGACGAUCAGAUACCGUCGUAGUCUCAACCAUAAACUAUGUCGACUUGGGAUCGGCGGUAGUUUUUUCAUUAAGACACUGUCGGGACCACGGGAGAAAUCAAAGUGUCUGGACUCUGGGGGAAGUAUGGUCGCAAGGCUGAAACUUGAAGGAAUUGACGGAAGGGCACCACCAGGAGUGGAGCCUGCGGCUUAAUUUGACCCAACACGGGGAAACUUACCAGGUCCAGAGAUGUAGAGGAUUGACAGAUUGAAGCUCUUUCUUGAUCACUUCGGUGGUGGUGCAUGGCCGUUCUUAGUUGGUGGAGUGAUUUGUCUGGUUAAUUCCGUUAACGAACGAGACCUCAGCCUGCUAGUGUAGUCGGCUGGAUUGC
rnacentral:rRNA from 1 species